GAGGAGGGAGAAGAAGGAGGAGGGAGAAGGAGGAGGAGGAGGGAGAAGAGAGGACCUCAGCAGCUUAGCAUGUAAGAAGGAAAGAGGAGCCUCUUUCCCACAAGGCCCUCAUGCUGCUCACCUUGUUGCCAGAAUUGUGAAUGCAUUUUUUGGCCAGGGCCACAUUGGCAUCUGCUUCACUGCAGCAACAUUCCCAGGAGUGCUACUGCCUACCCCCUCUUGCAAUGACAGAGCGGAGUGGGAAGAACCAGGGUUCUGAAGUCGUCCAUACAGGCACCAACCUGCCCACUGGAGUCUGCUGGCUAGAAGGCCCCAAGGUUCUCUCCCUUUAGAUGUGCCUGCCUUUGGAGAUCUUAGACAACAUAUCUGUCAUUCAGAAAAGAACAUGGACAGCUGAUCUGUGUGUAACUUCUCUAAAGUCCUCCCAAUUCAAAAGGCAUGAAAGGAAGUCUACCAGGAAAAAGUUCAUUCCAGCUAACAGCUAAGAACUUCGAGGAGCUUGGGCAGGACUUGAGGCAGUGGGCUGAUGAGAUAACACUCAGAUAUCACCAGCCCUGUUACUCAGAUAACCACAGCUAAUUUGUCAGAAUUUCCAACUCCUUGUCACAACGUUUGAGGAAAUAUCUACCUCAUAUAUAUAUAUAUGAGACCAUUUGAAUCAUAUGUAUAGAUCACAUGAUAAAAAUGAAUGGUAGCAUUCUAACAUGUGCAAAGUCAAGCCAUUUAAUGUCUGACCACCUCUUUAUCCU